rnacentral:antisense_RNA from 1 species
ACAUGGCGCGGCGGAGCUUCCGCGGGGCCGAGCGGGGAGUGAGCUCAGGAGUGGGCUCCCGAUAAGAGGAUGAAUUCAGCCCUCCUUCCUUUUCUUUCAUGUGUUCUCUUGCCCUUCCACCCUCCGCCAUGGGAUGACACACCAAGAAGGCCUUCACCAGAUGUGGGGCCCUUGACCUUGGACUUCCCAGCCUCCAGAACUAAGGAGAAACCAACUCCAAGUUCUUAUUGGAAUAUUUACAGGGUACUGGAGGGGCUCACAGUAUUAAGGAGAAGACUCCGGCAGCCUCUGAAAGAAAGAAAACUAGGGAAGCUCUGGAAACACCAAUAAACAACCUCUGUCUAGG